rnacentral:rRNA from 1 species
AUUGAACGCUGGCGGAAUGCUUUACACAUGCAAGUCGAACGGCAGCACGGGGACAACCCUGGUGGCGAGUGGCGAACGGGUGAGUAAUACAUCGGAACGUGCCCAGUCGUGGGGGAUAACGUAGCGAAAGUUACGCUAAUACCGCAUACGAUCUACGGAUGAAAGCGGGGGAUAGCAAGACCUCGCGCGAUUGGAGCGGCCGAUGUCAGAUUAGGUAGUUGGUGGGGAAAAGGCCUACCAAGCCGACGAUCUGUAGAUGGUCUGAGAGGACGACCAGCCACACUGGGCCUGAGCAACGGCCCAGACUCCUACGGGAGGCAGCAGUGGGGAAUUUUGGACAAUGGGCGCAAGGCUUAUCCAGCCAUUCCGCGUGCAGGAUGAAGGCCUUCGGGUUGUAAACUGCUUUUGUACGGAGCGAAAAUGCUCUCUCUAAUACAGGGGGCUCAUGACGGUACCGUAAGAAUAAGCACCGGCUAACUACGUGCCAGCCGCCGCAGUAAGAC